UGGAAGUAAAAAGUCGUAACAAGGUCUCCGUUGGUGAACCAGCGGAGGGAUCAUUACCGAGUUUACAACUCCCAAACCCCUGUGAACAUACCAAUUGUUGCCUCGGCGGAUCAGCCCGCUCCCGGUAAAACGGGACGGCCCGCCAGAGGACCCCUAAACUCUGUUUCUAUAUGUAACUUCUGAGUAAAACCAUAAAUAAAUCAAAACUUUCAACAACGGAUCUCUUGGUUCUGGCAUCGAUGAAGAACGCAGCAAAAUGCGAUAAGUAAUGUGAAUUGCAGAAUUCAGUGAAUCAUCGAAUCUUUGAACGCACAUUGCGCCCGCCAGUAUUCUGGCGGGCAUGCCUGUUCGAGCGUCAUUUCAACCCUCAAGCCCUCGGGUUUGGUGUUGGGGAUCGGCGAGCCCUUGCGGCAAGCCGGCCCCGAAAUCUAGUGGCGGUCUCGCUGCAGCUUCCAUUGCGUAGUAGUAAAACCCUCGCAACUGGUACGCGGCGCGGCCAAGCCGUUAAACCCCCAACUUCUGAAUGUUGACCUCGGAUCAGGUAGGAAUACCCGCUGAACUUAAGCAUAUCAAUAAGCGGAGGA
rnacentral:rRNA from 1 species